rnacentral:rRNA from 1 species
UACGGAGGGGCUAGCGUUGUUCGGAAUUACUGGGCGUAAAGCGCACGUAGGCGGCUUGUAAGUUAGAGGUGAAAGCCCGGGGCUCAACUCCGGAAUUGCCUUUAAGACUGCAUCGCUAGAAUUGUGGAGAGGUAAGUGGAAUUCCGAGUGUAGAGGUGAAAUUCGAUAGAUAUUCGGAAGAACACCAGUGGCGAAGGCGACUUACUGGACACAUAUUGACGCUGAGGUGCGAAAGCGUGGGGAGCGAACAGGA